ACUGAACGCUGGCGGCAGGCUUAACACAUGCAAGUCGAGCGGAGAUGAGGUGCUUGCACCUUAUCUUAGCGGCGGACGGGUGAGUAAUGCUUAGGAAUCUGCCUAUUAGUGGGGGACAACAUUCCGAAAGGAAUGCUAAUACCGCAUACGUCCUACGGGAGAAAGCAGGGGAUCUUCGGACCUUGCGCUAAUAGAUGAGCCUAAGUCGGAUUAGCUAUUUGGUGGGGUAAAGGCCUACCAAGGCGACGAUCUGUAGCGGGUCUGAGAGGAUGAUCCGCCACACUGGGAGUGAGACACGGCCCAGACCCCUACGGGAGGCAGCAGUGGGGAAUAUUGGACAAUGGGGGGAACCCUGAUCCAGCCAUGCCGCGUGUGUGAAGAAGGCCUUAUGGUUGUAAAGCACUUUAAGCGAGGAGGAGGUUACUGAGACUAAUACUCUUGGAUAGUGGACGUUACUCGCAGAAUAAGCACCGGCUAACUCUGUGCCAGCCGCCGCCGUAACAC
rnacentral:rRNA from 1 species